GCUAUGUCACCCUACCUUGGAGCCAGCUGACUGUGGACUGAAACCUCCACACACUUGUUGGACAGUUACACCAGGCUUGGAAGCGGCAGCUCUCUGCGUGUCAGAAUCACCUGCGGCCCGGCUGUCUGAGCCACUCCCCUGCUCCACACCCGGAAAACCUCCAGGAAGAGCGUCACAAGCAAGCGACCACUGUCCUUGCCCUGUUCAGCUUCCCAAGCAAGCCUGUCCACGGGCCGAGGUGGCUCCGCACGGCCUGGGCUCACAGAGCGCCCUGUGCUCCACUGCGCAGAGGAGGAGGGACCCCUGCCCAGUCUCCGGCUCUCAGUGUCAGAUCGGGGUCCCUCCCAGUCCCCACACCUGGUUCCCUCUGCCAUGCUGUGAUGCCACCAGAGCCCCGUCUGGACUCGGCCCCUCUGCCCGGACUCACCAGACUCCAGGCAAAUUGCUUGUAGAACCUGUCUGUCCACAGCAGUCUCGCCCAGCGGGAAUGGAAGAGCCAGCCUGGGGGACCAGAGCCUAAGCUCGGGGGGAGUCUACUGCUGCGUUCCCAGCAUCGAGAUCCGUGCCCGGUUCAUAGCAGGAGCUCAGUUAAUAAACAUGGAAUAAAUACUACCGGC
rnacentral:lncRNA from 1 species